rnacentral:rRNA from 1 species
AGAGUUUGAUCCUGGCUCAGGAUGAACGCUAGCGAUAGGCCUAACACAUGCAAGUCGAGGGGCAGCAUAGAGUAGCAAUACUUUGAUGGCGACCGGCGCACGGGUGAGUAACACGUAUGCAACCUACCUACAUCAGGGGAAUAACCCGGAGAAAUUCGGACUAAUACCGCAUAAUACAGGGAUGCCGCAUGGCAAUAUUUGUUAAAGAUUUAUCGGAUGUAGAUGGGCAUGCGUUCCAUUAGCUAGUUGGUAAGGUAACGGCUUACCAAGGCAACGAUGGAUAGGGGAACUGAGAGGUUUGUCCCCCACACUGGAACUGAGACACGGACCAGACUCCUACGGGAGGCAGCAGUGAGGAAUAUUGGUCAAUGGACGAGAGUCUGAACCAGCCAAAUCGCGUGAAGGAAGACUGCCCUACGGGUUGUAAACUUCUUUUGUACAGGAAUAAAAGACAUUACGUGUAAUGUAUUGCAUGUACUGUACGAAUAAGCAUCGGCUAACUCCGUGCCAGCAGCCGCGGUAAUACGGAGGAUGCGAGCGUUAUCCGGAUUUAUUGGGUUUAAAGGGUGCGCAGGCGGGAUUUUAAGUCAGCGGUGAAAUUUUCAGGCUCAACCUGAACACUGCCGUUGAAACUGGGAUUCUUGAGUAUGGAUGAAGUAGGCGGAAUUCGUUGUGUAGCGGUGAAAUGCUUAGAUAUCACGAGGAAAUAUCGAUUGCGUAGGCAGCUUACUAAGCUUGUAACUGACGCUCAAGCACGAAAGCAUGGGGAUCAAACAGGAUUAGAUACCCUGGUAGUCG